AGCGAACGCUGGCGGCAGGCCUAACACAUGCAAGUCGAACGAAGUCUUCGGACUUAGUGGCGGACGGGUGAGUAACACGUGGGAACGUACCUUUUGGUUCGGGACAACUCAGGGAAACUUGAGCUAAUACCGAAUGUGCCCUUCGGGGGAAAGAUUUAUCGCCAUUGGAGCGGCCCGCGUCUGAUUAGCUAGUUGGUGAGGUAACGGCUCACCAAGGCGACGAUCAGUAGCUGGUCUGAGAGGAUGAUCAGCCACAUUGGGACUGAGACACGGCCCAAACUCCUACGGGAGGCAGCAGUGGGGAAUCUUGCGCAAUGGGCGAAAGCCUGACGCAGCCAUGCCGCGUGAAUGAUGAAGGUCUUAGGAUUGUAAAAUUCUUUCACCGGGGACGAUAAUGACGGUACCCGGAGAAGAAGCUCCGGCUAACUUCGUGCCAGCCGCCGCCGUAAAAC
rnacentral:rRNA from 1 species